UUUAUAGAAUGCUUGCUCCUAACCUCACCUCACUAUCCAAUUUCUUUGCUGGUUAUAUAACUAGCCUAAGAACUCUAUAUUUUUUCCAAAGUUAUACAUCCCUCUCACAAAACCUGAGGCUAAACUCAACCCAUAUUUCCCAUCAAAUCAGUAUCACCCACAACUUAUUCCAACCACCAGAUUCAUCAAUUUCCUUCAGAGCACAUCAUAACCAAUAUACAAACAAGAAUCAUUCCCAGGAUCAUCAAUUCAAUGAAAUUCAGUUCAGCAACACAAUUCCAGGCAGAUUAUAACAAUCACAAUCAAACAUAGAGAAUGAACCAAAGGUUCAGAACAUUCCAAGACCGAAUACUUAAAAUAGAGACAAUUAAAUAUCAAACAAUAUAUCACAGUUAAAUUUAACAUGCAUAGAGCAUUAAAACAGAGUUAACCAGUGUACAAACGCAAUUCAACAUAUUUUCUCAUAAAUUCAGGAAUUAAUCAGAACAACAAAAUACUUAUAUAGUUAGCUCCCCUUACCUCUAGGUUGC
rnacentral:lncRNA from 1 species